AAAGUCGUAACAAGGUUUCCGUAGGUGAACCUGCGGAAGGAUCAUUAACGAAUUAUGGAGAGUUGAUGCUGGUGUUAAUUCACAUGUGCUCGCUCUCUUAAUCCAUAUACACCUGUGCACCUUUUGAUUUCGAAGGCUUUAUUGGAGACGCAAGUCGAAGAUAGCCUUUGGAACCUUAACACAUACCCUUCUUGUAAUCAUGAAUGUUUUAUUUGUCGAAAGACAGAAUUAAAUACAACUUUUAACAACGGAUCUCUUGGCUCUC
rnacentral:misc_RNA from 1 species